rnacentral:rRNA from 1 species
UACGUAGGGGGCAAGCGUUGUCCGGAUUUAUUGGGCGUAAAGAGCGUGUAGGCGGCCGGACAGGUCCGUUGUGAAAACUCGAGGCUCAACCUCGAGACGCCGAUGGAAACCGUUUGGCUAGAGUCCGGAAGAGGAGAGUGGAAUUCCUGGUGUAGCGGUGAAAUGCGCAGAUAUCAGGAAGAACACCCGUGGCUAAGGCGGCUCUCUAGUCCGGUACUGACGCUGAGACGCGAAAGCGUGGGGAGCGA